CAGCAGAGCUCAAUGGCAGACCUUGAAGGAGACUGUAAGAAGCAGAGAACAAGACUGGCUUCAUGAUGAUUUCUUGAUGAGAAUCUCCUUGGAAGCUGAGGAAACUGGAACAUCUUGGACUUGGCAUAUGACACCAAGUAUCUGCAAACUUUAGAGGCUCUAUUGAGGGCGGAGACGCUUUAGGCCUGAUUCAGCUGGAAGGAAAAGCCCAAGUCUUGCUCCCAGCCCGCCGAGAUCUUUCCCGGCCCCACGGCAGAUUUUGGUGUCAUCAGCGCUGGGUGGCUCUGAGGAAGGCUGGAGGCUCUUACUAGAGAGCAGCUUCAGCAGCUCUGUGGCUGGAAGGUGACCUGAAUACAAAGGUUUUGGCCUCUGCUGAGAGGCCAAGGACAAAGCCCUAAAAUCUUUCCAGCUCCUAAAGCCUCUGUCAAUUCUGCAGAGGUUAAGCCAAGCACUAAUCCUGUAGGAGCUUGGAAGGUUUUAAGAAAAGCCCAGACACAAAGCUGCUCAGAAACUUGAUGAACCUGAGAGUUGCCGUUUGGGCAAUUGGACUUUGAGGAGCAGCACUGCGCUGGAGUCUGUCAAGUGUUUAGACUUGGCUUUACCUACUCAAAUGCUGAAAAAAAGCCAAAACUGUUUGGCCAGAGAGUCAGGGAAGUUACAGCUCUUUCCUGUACACGGAUUUAAUGACCAGGCUUUCUUCUGUCCCACCCUCAGAUUCCUCAGGGCAAUUAGCUGGUUGGUUACUCGUAUGGCCAAACAGCAGGGCUUGCCUCCUGAGUAACUCCAGGCUAAGUCCCACCAACAUGGAAGAAAUCCAGGUAGUCUCUCUCUAGCUCUGUCACCUUUUGAGGACCUUGAGAUGUGAUGUUGCUCUCUUUUUCUUAGUUGUCUUUUGGAUAGUAACACCAGCUGAUACUGGAAAAGUGGUUUUGUUGUUGCUCCAAACUUACAUGUUAUUUUUUCUUAAGCCUGCAAAUCAAGCUGAAAGCUUAACAAGUUCCUCAAAGCUGUGUGUCUGUGGGAAUGACACUGGGCAGCCUCUCAGAGCCACUCGACAUGACCCUGCUCUCUGGCCUUACACCCCCAGCAAAUCCUCGGUGCUUUGUGUCAAGAAAUGAUUUGAUUAAUGAAGUGAAACCUAGGCAGAAAUCUGCUCAAAGGCCGCCUUCCCUCCAGCAAAUGUCUCCAAAGGCCACAGAAAGGAGCUGAUUUUAGUAGCUGGCAAAACAGGAACAUAUGCCCUGACAUCUGCGGUAGGGAUGGUGUUGGGACUGGGUGCAGCUACUGAAUGGUGCUGUAGCACAAAUCCCUGUGGCCUUGCUGCUGGUGGGACAGGAAGGAGCUGAGCUCCGUGUUUUGCCAAGAAUGGGCAGUUUUAACAGCUGCUGAAGGCUCUAGCCCAGCACAACCCACAUGGAGGUGACCCUCCUUGUUGUGGAUCAGGAGGGGGAUCAAGUGCCAGAUGGACAUCCUGGGAGAUGCCCAUGAGAUCCAUGAGGCUGCUGUGCCCAUGAAGGUUUCCACCACUGCCCAUCACUGGUGGGCAGGGCAGGAAAAUCACAAAGUGAGAAGAGUUAACAACUUCCUAAGGGGAGUCCUGGCAUGAAGAGACAAGCUGUUCACCUCCAGUGCUGGAGAUUCAUUCCCUUGGGUCAGAGCAUCAGGCAGACAUGCACAAGCACGUCAGGGAUCUCUGGAGCCAUGUCUCUAGAGUUCUGUGACACAGAUUUAAGGCAGCAUUUAAAAAUAUUUUUUUUUGCAUCCAGACAACUUGCCAUCUCAUCAGCUGAAGGAUUUUCUGGGUCACCACAGGCCCUCUGCCUGGCCCACACCAUGAGGCCCUGGGUCACAGCAGCACAGGUGUGCUGGUCCCAGGGACAGGAGGACAUGGUGGGGGAUGCAGGGUAACACCUCUGGGACCUGGUCCCUGAAACUAGGUCACCUCCUGUGACAGUAGAAGUGACUCUCAGCACAGAUGGCAGGUGGGACCUGGGAAUGACCUUGCCCUGUGGUCAUUUUCUCAUGCAGAGGCUUAGCUGGUGCACUUCAGGCAGCUGUUUGGUGACACGUGCCGCAGGUGCUGAGCUCACUGUUGCCAGGUCUUUUCUUCAGCCUUGGGGAUACCUGGGAAAGCCACUUUUGCUUUGUGGCAUAGUGUCUCCCCAUCCAGGGCAAAGAGGUGUACUGCCACAGCUCAUCCCAGAAAAAGACUGGUCCCUUUCCCUCCUGCUCUUCUCUCUUUUCCUUUCAUGCAGCUUGUUCUUGGGAAGGGCAUCCCUUAGGAAAUAAUGGGUUGACACAGUCUGCUCCACCUCUCAGUCAUCAAAUUCAGAUGAGCACUUUGAAGGAAAGAAAAGCAAACCAUCACUUAUUACACAGAGACAGCUGGAAAUGCUGCGAGAUCCUUGUAAAACUCACCAGUUUUACUCGUGUCCAGUUCUUGCUGGGAAAACUCAGAUAGUAUAAAUAAUGUAGGUGCUUAUCUCAUCCAGCCUUAGUGGACCAUUUAAAAUGCCUUAACUGAGCUCAAAAGUGGUGCUGUUUUCUCUCCCUUGAAAAUACAUUUAAAAGACAUUACAUUUGUUUGAGAACUUUGCUGAUUGACUCUAGGUAAAAAUAAGCACCGUCUUGUAUUACAUUGUUAUGCCACAUAAGCACCUUGCAUAAUAACCUUAGCCCCAACAUAAUCUUAAUUAUGUUAGAAUUAGUGCAAAGAAUUUUAUCUGAGACUCAUGUAAAUAUUUUGUGCUCUCAAUACUUUGAUGUGCCUAGAAAGAGAUUAAUGUUUGCUUUGAUAAUUAGUCUGUUGCAUGUGGCCAAAAAUUCAUUACAAACACAGUUAAUUAAGCUGUCAACAAACCUUUGGUCUCCGGCUGGUGAGAAUAAUUCAAUAAUUUUGUUGGG